rnacentral:rRNA from 1 species
UCGGAGUUGCUAGUAAUCGUAGGUCAGCAUACUACGGUGAAUACGUUCCCGGGCCUUGUACACACCGCCCGUCAAACCAUGAGAGUUGGCAACACCGAAGUCGGUAGUCUAACCGCAAGGAGGACGCCGCCGAAGGUGGGGUUNAUGAUUAGGGUUAAGUCGUAACAAGGUAGC